rnacentral:rRNA from 2 species
AGAGUUUGAUCAUGGCUCAGGACGAACGCUGGCGGCGUGCUUAACACAUGCAAGUCGAACGGGAUCCUGCUUGGUUUUUGCUGGGUGGGUGAGAGUGGCGAACGGGUGAGUAAUGCGUGACUAACCUGCCGUGUAGUUGGGUAUAGCUCCUGGAAACGGGUGGUAAUACCGAAUGGUCCACUGGGCUGCAUGGUCUGGUGGGAAAGUUUUGUGUGCUAUGCGAUGGGGUCGCGUCCUAUCAGCUUGUUGGUGGGGUGAUGGCCUACCAAGGCUUCGACGGGUAGCCGGCCUAAGAGGGCGACCGGCCACAUUGGGACUGAGAUACGCCCAGACUCCUACGGGAGGCAGCAGUGGGGAAUAUUGCACAAUGGGGGGAACCCUGAUGCAGCGACGCCGCGUGCGGGAUGGAGGCCUUCGGGUUGUGAACCGCUUUUAUUGGGGAGCAAGCUGGCCCUGUGUUGGGUUGGUGAGUGUACUUGGUGAAUAAGCACCGGCCAACUACGUGCCAGCAGCCGCGGUAAUACGUAGGGUGCCAGCGUUGUCCGGAUUUAUUGGGCGUAAAGGGCUCGUAGGCGGUUCGUCGCGUCUGGUGUGAAAGCUUACUGCUUAACGGUGGGUUUGCGUUGGAUACGGGCGGGCUUGAGUGCAGUAGGGGAGACUGGAAUUCUCGGUGUAACGGUGGAAUGUGUAGAUAUCGGGAAGAACACCUAUGGCGAAGGCAGGUCUCUGGGCUGUUACUGACGCUGAGGAGCGAAAGCGUGGGGAGCGAACAGGAUUAGAUACCCUGGUAGUCCACGCUGUAAACGGUGGACGCUGGAUGUGGGGCCUAUUUCCACGGGUUCUGUGUCGGAGCUAACGCGUUAAGCGUCCCGCCUGGGGAGUACGGCCGCAAGGUUAAAACUCAAAGAAAUUGACGGGGGCCCGCACAAGCGGCGGAGCAUGCGGAUUAAUUCGAUGCAACGCGAANAACCUUACCAGGGCUUGACAUGUGAGCGUUGAUCUUAGAGAUAGGGUUUCCCUUCGGGGCGCUUUCACAGGUGGUGCAUGGUCGUCGUCAGCUCGUGUCGUGAGAUGUUGGGUUAAGUCCCCGCAAACGAGCGCAACCCUUGCCUUGUGUUGCCAGCCGGUUCUUGCCCGGGGAACUCAACAAAGGGAACCGCCCGGGGGUUAAACUUCGGGAAGGAAAGGGUGGGGGAUGACGUCCAGAAUCAUCAUGCCCCUUAACGUCCUGGGGCUUCAACGCAUGCUACAAUGGCUGGUACAGCGGGGAUGCGAUACGGUGACGUGGAGCGGAUCCUGUAAAACCGGUCUCAGUUCGGAUCGGAGCCUGCAACUCGGCUCCGUGAAGGUGGAGUCGCUAGUAAUCGCGGAUCAGCAGUGCCGCGGUGAAUGCGUUCCCGGGCCUUGUACACACCGCCCGUCAAGUCAUGAAAGUGGGCAGCACCCGAAGCCGGUGGCCUAACCCUUGUGGGGAGAACCGUCUAAGGUGAGGUUCGCGAUUGGGACUAAGUCGUAACAAGGUAGCCGUACCGGAAGGUGCGGCUGGAUCACCUCCUU